rnacentral:rRNA from 1 species
GACGGAGGAUGCAAGCGUUAUCCGGAAUGAUUGGGCGUAAAGCGUCUGCAGGUGGCCGUUCAAGUCUGCUGUCAAAGACCGGGGCUUAACUUCGGAAAGGCGGUGGAAACUGAACAGCUAGAGUAUGGUAGGGGCAGAGGGAAUUCCUGGUGUAGCGGUGAAAUGCGUAGAGAUCAGGAAGAACAUCGGUGGCGAAGGCGCUCUGCUGGACCAUAACUGACACUCAGGGACGAAAGCUAGGGGAGCGAAUGGG